UCUCCUCCUUGGCUCUUCCGAUCUCUCCUCGUCUUCUAUUUCUUUUUCUGGUCCACAUGAACCGACGAUGCUCGGUGGUGAAGCCUCGCCUGAAGUAGCGAUGGGACGCGAGUCCCAUUGGGCCUCAAUCAGCAGGGGGAGGGGGCAGGGCUCUCUGCUCUCUUUCUUCUCGCGGAUGAGGGCGCGGCUACAUGGAACCGAGUAGGGGAUCUUGUGAUCCCAGGAGAAGGACUGCUGCCGCCGUCACAGUCCCGAGGUCGACACCUCUCGCCUCUACGCAACCACGAUGCGUCUGCCUCUUGCGGCCAGGUUAUCCCCUCAUCUAGCUCGUGCAACCCCAAAAUCGGCAUACUCCCACCUAGGUCCGCCCUUUUGUACCUGGGGGCGCGAUCUGGAGGAGUAGGGUAUCAGCCACUUGCAGGGAACGAGAGGAGCUGUGAGGAGGAAGGUAUGCACAAAAAGGCGACAAGGAGAAAGGUGGAGUUAUCGCCGUCCAUGGCCACUAACAGAGUGGGAUAAUCGAUAUGCCAUUGACUCUCUGCGGGGACUGAAACAGAUGAAGGAUGAAGACCAGCUGAAAAGGAUUGGUACAAAGCCGCUCCCACUUCAGGUAGAUGCCUCCCACGGGCACCUGCAUAUCCAAGGUGGUCUGGCUGCUGCCGGCUCGCCGGAGGAUGCCUCGGCUGCCGAAGUAAUCUGUCAGAGUGGCCGCUCAGAUGAUCCCCCUUCACAUCCCACCCAGUGAGCUGAGAGUCUUGGUGCACCCAUGGUUCAUUGAGGUGUCCUUGGGCGCAUUGCUGAGGCGGACGACCAUCUUGUCGGCGCCCUCAGAUUCCAUCAGUUCUUCGAGGCCUCGGAGGUUGCAUUGUUCAGGUAUAAUAACACAAAUUCACUUGCAGCCGUGAGCAACAACCUGCUGUUGAUUUUUCUUGGCCUACAGUGACGAUAUUGUAGAUUUUGUCCGCUUUUCAGAAGAAACCAUUGUACACAUAGCAAUCAUAGCUAGAAGUAGGUCUCCAUAAGUUCAUAAGAUGGUUUUGAUAUUGACAUUUUUUUAUUUCUUUUUUGCAUCAAACUCCAUCAUGUGAUGUACAUAUUACUUUGAUUGAAGUAGGUCUCCAUCAUGUAAUGUUGCUUAAAUCUCUGUUUUUGCUGCUUACAGGGAGAACCUAUAUGCACGUCCUAUUCUCUUUAUGGCAUCUACAAUUUUGAUCCCUAUUACAAAUUCGACCAUCUAAUCAGAAUUGUUAUGUAUGGCCUUGUCACGUGGGAACUGCUCGCCAUAAGCUAGGACAUGUGCCAAAACGUUCAGAAGUAUGGCUUCAAUGGCUUAGGAGGGUCCGACAGGAUUACCACCGCUGACAUUCAGUCAAGUGAAAUACGAACUACCAGAGAGUUUUGAUGAUAUAGGGCUCAAGCUGGCAUCUGGCUACAGCUCGUGGGAGUUAGAGCCAAUUUUUUUCAACCAGUCUAAUGACUAAUGCAAGAGUAUAUCUGGGGGUGCACUAAACUGAGUUAGAAGAAGUAAGAAAUGCUCUACACUGAUUUAAGGUCAGUUGGUACAAGAGUAGUCUGCUAAUUUCACCCGGUUUUGAUCACAUGCAGUCUCCUGGAUUCUCUGAUUCAGUAGAAAAAAAAUGGUAUUCACAAAUAAGAUUGCUGAACUGCCUGAAAUUGUUUACAACUCGAAACAACGGAGUUGGAUCCAACAUUCUGGGAUUCCGGGGUCUAUGGUGCUCACUGCUCAGGAGCGAACACAUGCAGCAUUCCCCCUUGCUGGGUGCCCUGCUACCGGCCGCACCAUGCGGCUGGCAACAGCCGCUGAUUAAGGAAAGCGCCACUGGGGACUGGGCACCGUUGCUCAACAACAACCGGAGUAGCUUAUAUGGAUAGAAGGCCGUGAGCAAUGACGACCUAAACAGAACAUAACUUCAUUUGCGAAGUUAAUCUACGAUUUGGAUUUUGGACGGGAUUGGUCAGCAGCUGACCGGUGAGGAGGCGCCCCAAGGGGCGCCCCAACCACUAGUACAUAUCAUAUACGUGCUAGAAAUACACAUGCUGUCAGUUGCCUGCCGCUUUCUUAUUCCCAAUUUCUAAUUACUGCUAUGGCACCGUGUUGUCAACCGCAGUGCUCACCUGUCUUUGCCGUCGGAUUGAGAUCGUGCGGUCCAACAGUCUAACUUGCACGUGGAUCUCCUCUCAUCCACACAAUUCUUAUCUCCGCUCCACCCAUUGAGACCCCCCACGAGGCCACGAACUGCGGGAGAGAGAGAGACCUGAGCGCCAUUGCCAUCUCUUCCUUCCCCAUGGAAAUCCUCUUUGCCCAGCCCCUGCGCCACCCUCCCGGACGCGCACCUCGAGCCGGUCCUUCCUCGACUUCUUCCGCCGCAUCUCCUCUCCUUUCCCCAACCUCUGCGAGUUCCUUCAUGGACUCGCCCAUGGGCGCCAUGGCUGCCCGGACCUCGUUGACCUCCGUCGGUUCGGCCUCGCCUCUCUCUCUCUCUCUCUCUCUCUCCGGCGCGAGUUCUUCAUUGACCUUGAUGAGCUCCGCUGGUCCGACCUCGCCGCUCUCGCUGCGCCCCCGUGCUCGUCCUGUACCUUGAGGACAUCCGUCAAUCCUCCCAUGCUCGUCGGUGUGAGAGGGAAUCG